rnacentral:tRNA from 2 species
GCUUCCUUAGCUUAGAUGGUUAAAGCUAUCGGCUCAUAACCGAUUGACCACAGGUUCGAAUCCUGUAGGAAGCACCA